rnacentral:tRNA from 1 species
GGUUCGGUAGCUCAGUUGGUAGAGCAGCGGACUGAAAAUCCGCGUGUCGGGGGUUCAAUUCCCUCCCGAACCAC